rnacentral:rRNA from 1 species
CCUACGGGAGGCAGCAGUGAGGAAUAUUGGUCAAUGGACGAGAGUCUGAACCAGCCAAGUAGCGUGAAGGAUGACUGCCCUAUGGGUUGUAAACUUCUUUUAUAUGGGAAUAAAAUGUUCCACGUGUGGGAUUUUGUAUGUACCAUAUGAAUAAGGAUCGGCUAACUCUGUGCCAGCAGCCGCGGUAAUACGGAGGAUCCGAGCGUUAUCUGGAUUUAUUGGGUUUAAAGGGAGCGUAGGUGGAUUGUUAAGUCAGUUGUGAAAGUUUGCGGCUCAACCGUAAAAUUGCAGUUGAAACUGGCAGUCUUGAGUACAGUAGAGGUGGGCGGAAUUCGUGGUGUAGCGGUGAAAUGCUUAGAUAUCACGAAGAACUCCGAUUGCGAAGGCAGUUCACUGGACUGCAACUGACACUGAGGCUCGAAAGUGUGGGUAUCAAACAGGAUUAGAUACCCUAGUAGUC